AUAUAUCAACCUCUUCAGCUUUUUUGUUUGACGAGUGUUGGAUGUGGGGGUUUGUUUUGCUGGGCUUUUUUAUAAAGAGGUCAGCUCCCCUGAAAUGCAUUAGCGGAAACAUUUGCAGAUCGUUCAUUGGUGUGAUAAUUAUCUACGCUAUUGACGUGAAGCAGUUCAGCUUCUAACAGUCCAUUGACUUGGACAAUUUUCAUUA
rnacentral:misc_RNA from 1 species